rnacentral:sRNA from 1 species
CUGAAGCUUUGUCUUUUUAUCCACAGAACUGAUGUGCCGGGCAGUACAAGUCCAAGCUUCCCCACACUGACCCUCCAACAUGCCUCACCCCUGACCUGAAAAGAUUCACUUCUAUUGAUGAAGGGUAGCUCUGCACAUUCACACAAUCCCAUAC